UACGUAGGGUCCGAGCGUUGUCCGGAGUUACUGGGCGUAAAGCGCGCGCAGGCGGCGGUGUUGGCCCGGCGUGAAAGCCCCCGGCUCAACCGGGGAGAGUCGUCGGGGACCGCACCGCUUGAGGGCGGUAGGGCGUGGUGGAAUGCCUGGUGUAGUGGUGAAAUGCGUAGAGAUCAGGCAGAACACCUGGGGCGAAGGCGGCCAGCUGGGCCGUCCCUGACGCUGAGGCGCGAAGGCGUGGGGAGCGAACGGG
rnacentral:rRNA from 1 species